rnacentral:rRNA from 1 species
CUUACACAUGCAAGUCGAGCGGUAGCACAGGGGAGCUUGCUCUCUGGGUGACGAGCGGCGGACGGGUGAGUAAUGUCUGGGAAACUGCCUGAUGGAGGGGGAUAACUACUGGAAACGGUAGCUAAUACCGCAUAACGUCGCAAGACCAAAGAGGGGGACCUUCGGGCCUCUUGCCAUCAGAUGUGCCCAGAUGGGAUUAGCUAGUAGGUGGGGUAAUGGCUCACCUAGGCGACGAUCCCUAGCUGGUCUGAGAGGAUGACCAGCCACACUGGAACUGAGACACGGUCCAGACUCCUACGGGAGGCAGCAGUGGGGAAUAUUGCACAAUGGGCGCAAGCCUGAUGCAGCCAUGCCGCGUGUGUGAAGAAGGCCUUCGGGUUGUAAAGCACUUUCAGCGAGGAGGAAGGUGGUGAACUUAAUACGUUCAUCAAUUGACGUUACUCGCAGAAGAAGCACCGGCUAACUCCGUGCCAGCAGCCGCGGUAAUACGGAGGGUGCAAGCGUUAAUCGGAAUUACUGGGCGUAAAGCGCACGCAGGCGGUUUGUUAAGUCAGAUGUGAAAUCCCCGGGCUCAACCUGGGAACUGCAUUUGAAACUGGCAAGCUAGAGUCUCGUAGAGGGGGGUAGAAUUCCAGGUGUAGCGGUGAAAUGCGUAGAGAUCUGGAGGAAUACCGGUGGCGAAGGCGGCCCCCUGGACGAAGACUGACGCUCAGGUGCGAAAGCGUGGGGAGCAAACAGGAU